rnacentral:rRNA from 1 species
UACAGAGGGGGCGAGCGUUGUUCGGAAUUACUGGGCGUAAAGGGCGCGUAGGCGGCCUUCUAAGUCGAACGUGAAAUCCCCGGGCUCAACCCGGGAACUGCGUCCGAUACUGGGAGGCUUGAAUCCGGGAGAGGGAUGUGGAAUUCCAGGUGUAGCGGUGAAAUGCGUAGAUAUCUGGAGGAACACCGGUGGCGAAGGCGGCAUCCUGGACCGGCAUUGACGCUGAGGCGCGAAAGCCAGGGGAGCAAAGCGGG